rnacentral:tRNA from 1 species
GCGAGCGUAGCUCAGUUGGUAGAGCAUUAGCUUCCCAAGCUAAGGGUCGCGGGUUCGAAUCCCGUCGCUCGCU